AUAAGCGGGGAAAGAAGACCCUGUUGAGCUUGACUCUAGUUUGAUAUUGUAAAACUACUUGGAAGAUGUAGCAUACGUGGGAGCAUCUAAUGCGACAGUGAAAUACCACGGCUUCUAAUGUGGCUUUGCUCACUCGGAAUUAGUGGAUCUGCUCUGCAGAAACGCGAAACUAAAGUGUAAACGACAUUCACUGAGGACAUUAUCAAAUGGGGAGUUCGGCUGGGGCGGCACAUCUGCUAAACAUCAACGCAGAUGCCCUAAGGUUAACUCAAAGAGAACAGAAAUCUCUUGUAGACCGAAAGGAGAAAAGUUAGCAUUAUUCGGAUUUGUAUCAUCAAUAAGAAUUGCGAAAGCAUGGCCUAUCGAUCCUUUAAGCCCAGAAAGAUUCUGGCUAGAGGUGACGGAAAAGUUACCACAGGGAUAGCUGGCUUGUGGCAGCCAAGCGUUCAUAGCGACGUUGCUUUUUGAUCCUUCGAUGUCGGCUCUUCCUAUCAUUGAGUUGCAGAAGUCUCAAAGUGUCGGAUUGUUCACCCGUUAAUAGGGAACGUGAGCUGGGUUUAGACCGUCGUGAGACAGGUUAGUUUUAUCCUACUUAUACACGCAUCAAAAGAGUUAAUCAACUUAGUACG
rnacentral:ncRNA from 1 species